UGGGGGAUAUUGCACAAUGGGCGAAAGCCUGAUGCAGCGACGCCGCGUGGGGGAUGAAGGCCUUCGGGUUGUAAACUUCUUUUGCUCUGAACAAGGCAUGCCUUUGGGGUGUGUUGAGUGUAGGGGUUGAUUAGCGCCGGCUAACUACGUGCCAGCAGCCGCGGUAAUACGUAGGGCGCGAGCGUUGUCCGGAAUUAUUGGGCGUAAAGGGCUUGUAGGUGGCUGGUUGCGUCUGUCGUGAAAGCUCAUGGCUUAACUGUGGGUUUGCGGUGGGUACGGGCUGGCUUGAGUGCAGUAGGGGAGGCUGGAAUUCCUGGUGUAGCGGUGGAAUGCGCAGAUAUCAGGAGGAAUACCGGUGGCGCAGGCGGGUCUCUGGGCUGUUACUGACGCCGAGGAGCGAAAGCGUGGGGAGCGAACAGG
rnacentral:rRNA from 1 species